UUCAUGCUUCACCACCUACGCCGAGGGGCUGAAGAGCAGCCAUGAAGAAAGCGAGGAUCCGGAGCCGAAGCAGCAGCCACAGCCGACCGGGAGCCCUCCCAGCCCUCCGCCCUCCCGCAGAGCCGCGGACCCAGCAAUCAUCCUCUCUCGCAGGAUUAACUCUGAUGCAGCCUUGCAAAAGCAUCUUCCUUAGUACUGGGCCACGUCAUCAUUUCAGCUCCUCCAGGCACCGAUUGCAGACCCUUCCGGCAGAAGAAGUGGGUGCCAGCUCAUAUUCUGAAACCGCCAGAAAGAAGGCCAGCACUCUCUAAAGGAGCUGCCCUGCACACAAGAUGUGAAUGUCUUCUGUCCCCUGAUACAGAGAUUCUCACAAUCCAGUUCAUUUCUAUCAUACACUUCCCUCAAGAAGAAGGAUGGGAUACAACAUGGUUCUCUUUGACUUUUACUCUGAAAUUGUCUAGGUUUAAGGGGAGUUGUUUGGCCCAAGCUUCAUAGUACAGCAAGGAUUCAAACUAGGAUCUUCUGGAUUCCAACAACUCCAACAUAACACACCACGCUAAGCUCUGGCCUAUCUUCUUUUUUAAGGCUACUUAUAAAUACUUAAACAGAGGAACAGUAUAAUAUGUAUUCAUCACACAUCUUUUCGUAAGCUCUUGUCAGCUAGAAUUAGGACUGUAUUUUGGACACUGGAAAAUGUAAAGUGCUGGCCCUUGCCUGAAAGGAACUUGUGGGAAGGAAUCCCACCAGAUCAGAACCUAUUUCAAGCUUCUUAACAGCCACUGUGACCUGGCUACCCCACCCCAGGAGAAGACAAGAGGGCAGCACUGCAAUUGCUGUCACUAUCAGUGCUUCUCAAGGGUAUAGGUCUUGGGGCUAGGUAUGGGCUAAUAGCCUACACAGAAUACCGGUAGGCGUUUUAUGGCAAGUCUCGUCUUCAGUCUGAGGGACUGAGUGCCAUUCCCAUGAUUCCCUGUACAAAUGUGAAAACUACCAGUGGAUCAAGGGUCACUCCAGUUUGUCACUGGGGGGGGGGGGGGGGGGAAGAGAAAGAGGCAUGAUCAAACACAUGAUAUAAAGUUGGCCCUUCUACUACUUUCCUGACCUAUGCUCCCCAGGCCAUUCUUGGCACACAGACUCGCACAUCCCCAAAAACAAAAGCAGGAAUUUCCAAGUGAUACCAGAUCAGAAAAGCUGAAACUAGCAAAGCAGGUUACUAACUAGCGAAGUUACAAUCCUUUCAGGUGUCAUUUACUGCACUGCGGGUUGCCAGAAAGGAUGCCAGCAAAGAGCUCAGAGCAAAUACCUUUAGGUACUGUCUCACAGAUGGCAAAGGGCUUAGGGUCCUAUCCUUCAGCCCCCUCUCUACCUUAUGUCCACAUCAAACUACACUUGGUCAGAAUUUGCCCUUUACUACCUGUUAUUCUGGUCUUCCUCCCCCCCCCCCCCCCCGGUGUAAUUCAGACUGUGAGAUCAUUCGGGCAGAAUAUUUUGUGUAAAUGUACAAUGAUGGUGCUAUAUAAACCAUAUAAAUCCUAGGUACUCAUCUCUUCAAAAAAACUCUCCUUCCCUGAUUUCAACUAAUUAUAGGGGGCUUCAGUGAAGGGUUCUUAUUACAAGUUUGAGUCUAACCUGCCAUUCUUAAGAUAGUAAAGAAGGCAGUGGCUUAUCAAAUCCAAGUAUUUCUGGAUAAAGCUGAUUAUGUAGAUCCUUUUCAAUCUGGCUUUUGUCCUGGGUAUGGCACAGAAACUGCCUUGGUAGCCUAAUGGAUAAUCUACUGAGAGCACAAGUACAUCCUUGUUGCAUCUUCUGGACCACUCAGCUAUAAUCAACCAUGGUAUCAGUUGGGAAUACCUGCAAGAAAUAGCCCUCGGUGGUGGUGGUGUGCUGAAGUGGUUUCUAUCCUUUCUGGAGAGUAGGUUCCAGACAACUGUGCUGGGGACCUCUGUUCUGACCCUUCAGCACUGGCCCAUGGGGUUCUUUAAAAGGUUCUAUCAUGUUUCUCAUGCUCUUUAAUAUCUACCUGAUCCUGAUGCAAGAGGUCAUCCAAAGUUAGAUGUCAUUAGUAUGGAGAUGACACUCAACACUAUCUCUCAUUUCUAUCUAUUUCCAGGGAAAUAGUAGACUUGUUUAGGCAGUGAAGAACUUGAUGAGGUUAUAUGAAUUUAACUCAGGGGGAAAAGUCACAGCAGGACUGCAGAUUAGGGCUAAAACCAAUCUGGUAAUAUGUGGAUUGGAAUGUAUCCCCC